rnacentral:rRNA from 1 species
UCAAGUGAAUAAGCGCAUACGGUGGAUGCCUAGGCGGUAGUAGGCGAUGAAGGACGUGGUAAUCUGCGAUAAGCCCCGGCGAGCUGAUAAACGAGCUUUGACCCGAGGAUUUCCGAAUGGGAAAACCCACCCUGUUUACAGGGUAUCAUGCACUGAAUACAUAGGUGUAUGAGGCGAACCCGGGGAACUGAAACAUCUAAGUACCCGGAGGAAAAGAAAUCAACCGAGAUUCCCUUAGUAGCGGCGAGCGAACGGGGACCAGCCCUAAACUCUUUAUUGAUCUAGUAGAACAGUCUGGAAAGUCUGACCAUAGUGGGUGAUAGUCCCGUACACGAAAGAUCCUUAUAGAUUAUACGAGUAGGACGGCGCACGUGAAACGCUGUUUGAAUAUGGGGGGACCAUCCUCCAAGGCUAAAUACUAACUACCGACCGAUAGUGAACCAGUACCGUGAGGGAAAGGCGAAAAGAACCCCUGUAAGGGGAGUGAAAUAGAACCUGAAACCGUAUGCGUACAAGCAGUGGGAGCAGACUUGUUCUGUGACUGCGUACCUUUUGUAUAAUGGGUCAGCGACUUACUUCUCAGUGGCAAGCUUAACCGUUUAGGGGAGGCGUAGCGAAAGCGAGUCUUAAUAGGGCGUCUUAGUCGCUGGGAGUAGACCCGAAACCGGGCGAUCUAUCCAUGGCCAGGUUGAAGGUGCAGUAACAUGCACUGGAGGACCGAACCGACUUAUGUUGAAAAAUGAGCGGAUGAGCUGUGGAUCGGAGUGAAAGGCUAAUCAAGCCCGGAGAUAGCUGGUUCUCCUCGAAAGCUAUUUAGGUAGCGCCUCGCGUAUCACUGCCGGGGGUAGAGCACUGUUAUGGCUAGGGGGCCAUCCCGGCUUACCAACCCAUUGCAAACUCCGAAUACCGGCAAGUGCAAUCGCGGGAGACACACUACGGGUGCUAACGUCCGUGGUGGAAAGGGAAACAACCCAGACCGCCAGCUAAGGUCCCAAAAUUACAGCUCAGUGGGAAACGAUGUGGGAAGGCAUAGACAGCUAGGAGGUUGGCUUAGAAGCAGCCAUCCUUUAAAGAAAGCGUAAUAGCUCACUAGUCAAGUCGGCCUGCGCGGAAGAUUUAACGGGGCUAAGCUGUAUACCGAAGCUGCGGAUGCUUAUAUUUAUAUAGGCAUGGUAGAGGAGCGUUCUGUAAGCCUGCGAAGGUGUUCUGUAAGGAAUGCUGGAGGUAUCAGAAGUGCGAAUGCUGACAUGAGUAACGAUAAGGGGAGUGAAAAACUCCCCCGCCGAAAACCCAAGGUUUCCUGCGCAACGCUAAUCGGCGCAGGGUUAGUCGGUACCUAAGGCGAGGCCGAAAGGCGUAGUCGAUGGAAAACAGGUUAAUAUUCCUGUACCGCGCAUGACUGCGAUGGGGUGACGGAGAAGGCUAGACAAGCAGGGCGACGGUUGUCCCUGUUUAAGCGUGUAGGCUGAGAUCUUUGGAAAAUCCGGGAUCUCUUAAGGCUGAGACGUGAUGACGAGCACCAUUAGGAGCGAAGUUGUCGAUGCCAUGCUUCCAGGAAAAACCUCUAAGCUUCAGGUCAUGAGUGGCCGUACUCCAAACCAACACAGGUGGGUGGGAUGAGAAUUCUAAGGCGCUUGAGAGAACUCGGCUGAAGGAACUAGGCAAAAUGGAUCCGUAACUUCGGGAGAAGGAUCGCCCUUGCUGGUUAUUAGAUUUACUCUAAGAAGCUAGUGAGGGUUGCAAUAAAUUGGUGGCUGCGACUGUUUACUAAAAACACAGCACUCUGCAAACUCGUAAGAGGACGUAUAGGGUGUGACGCCUGCCCGGUGCCGGAAGGUUAAUUGAUGGGGUUAUCUUCGGAGAAGCUCUUGAUCGAAGCCCCGGUAAACGGCGGCCGUAACUAUAACGGUCCUAAGGUAGCGAAAUUCCUUGUCGGGUAAGUUCCGACCUGCACGAAUGGCGUAACGAUGGCCACACUGUCUCCAGCCGAGACUCAGUGAAAUUGAAAUCGCGGUUAAGAUGCCGCGUACCCGCGGCUAGACGGAAAGACCCCGUGCACCUUUACUACAGCUUCGCACUGAACUUUGAAUCUAUCUGUGUAGGAUAGCUGGGAGACUUUGAAGCGUGAUCGCCAGAUUGCGUGGAGUCAACCUUGAAAUACCAGCCUGGUAUAUUUGGAGUUCUAACCUAGGUCCAUUAUCUGGAUCAGGGACCGUGUGUGGUGGGUAGUUUGACUGGGGCGGUCUCCUCCGAAAGAGUAGCAGAGGAGCGCGAAGGUACCCUCGGCACGUUUGGAAAUCGUGCUAUGAGUGCAAUGGCAUAAGGGUGCUUGACUGCGAGACAGACACGUCGAGCAGGGUCGAAAGACGGUCAUAGUGAUCCGGUGGUUCUGUAUGGAAGGGCCAUCGCUCAACGGAUAAAAGGUACGCCGGGGAUAACAGGCUGAUACCGCCCAAGAGUUCAUAUCGACGGCGGUGUUUGGCACCUCGAUGUCGGCUCAUCUCAUCCUGGGGCUGAAGCAGGUCCCAAGGGUAUGGCUGUUCGCCAUUUAAAGAGGUACGCGAGCUGGGUUUAGAACGUCGUGAGACAGUUCGGUCCCUAUCUGCCGUGGGCGUUUGAGAAUUGAGGGAAGCUGCUUCUAGUACGAGAGGACCGAAGUGGACGAAUCUCUGGUGUUCCGGUUGUCACGCCAGUGGCAUUGCCGGGUAGCUACAUUCGGACAGGAUAACCGCUGAAAGCAUCUAAGCGGGAAGCCCCUCCCAAGAUUAGUUCUCACUAGGACUUUAAGUCCUCUAAAGAUCCGUCGAAGACUACGACGUUGAUAGGCCAGGUGUGGAAGCGCAGUAAUGUGUGUAGCUAACUGGUACUAAUUGAUCGUGAGGCUUGACCAU